rnacentral:rRNA from 1 species
CCUACGGGAGGCAGCAGUGAGGAAUAUUGGUCAAUGGCCGGAAGGCUGAACCAGCCAUGCCGCGUGAAGGUCAGUGCCCUAUGGGCGUUAAACUUCUUUUGUGCGGGAGCAAUAAUGGUCACGUGUGGCCAGACGAGAGUACCGUACGAAUAAGCAUCGGCUAACUCCGUGCCAGCAGCCGCGGUAAUACGGGGGAUGCAAGCGUUAGCCGGAUUUAUUGGGGUUAAAGGGUGCGUAGGCUGGGAGGUAAGUCAGCGGUGAAAUGCCCCGGCUCAACGGGGUGAAGUGCCAUUGAUACUGGCUUGCUGGAAUGCGGAUGACGUAGGAGGAAUGUGUGGUGUAGCGGUGAAAUGCAUAGAUAUCACACAGAACACCGAUUGCGAAGGCAUCUCACGAAUCCGCGAUUGACGCUGAUGCACGAAAGCGUGGGUAUCAAACAGGAUUAGAUACCCUAGUAGUC